GAGUUYGAUCCUGGCUCAGGAUGAACGCUAGUGGUAGGCUUUAACACAUGCAAGUCGACGACAAUAAAUAAUAUAAUUUUUAUUUAUUAUAGUGGCGAACGGGUGAGUAAUGCGUAAGAACUUACAUUUUGGAUAGGUAUAGUUUAAAGAAAUUUAAAGUAACCCCUAAUAAUGCUUUUUGUUUUAAAAAAGUGAAACCGAGAAAUAGGCUUAUGUCUGAUUAGCUAGUUGGUGAGAUAAUAGCUUACCAAGGCGAUUAUCAGUAGUUGGUCUGAGAGGAUGAUCAGCCACAUUGGGACUGAGAUACGGCCCAAACUCCUACGGGAGGCAGCAGUGAGGAAUAUUCCGCAAUGAGCGAAAGCUUGACGGAGCUAUACCACGUGACCGAAGAAGGCAAAGUCGUAAAGGUCUUUUCUUAAAGAUGAAAAAAAUGACAGUAUUUAAGGAAUAAGUAUCGGCUAACUCUGUGCCAGCAGCCGCGGUAAUACAGGGGAUGCGAGCGUUAUCCGGAUUUACUGGGCGUAAAGAGUCUGUAGGUUGUUUUAAAAGUCUUUCGUUAAAAAUUAAGGCUCAACCUUAACAUAGCGUUUGAUACUUUAGAACUUGAGGGCAAUAGAGGCAGAAGGUAUUCCUGGUGGAGCGAUGAAAUGCUUAGAUAUCAGGAAGACCAUCAAAAGCGAAGGCAUUCUGCUGGGUUGAUACCUGACACUGAGAGACGAAAGCUAGGGGAGCAAAUAGGAUUAGAGACCCUAGUAGUCCUAGCUGUAAACGAUGGGGACUAGAUGUUGGAAUAAUUUUCAGUGUCUAAGCUAACGCACUAAGUCCCCCGCCUGGGGAGUACAGUCGCAAGACCGAAACUUAAAGGAAUUGGCGGGAGCUUACACAAUUGGUGGAGCAUGUGGUUUAAUUCGAUGGUACACGAAGAACCUUACCGGGAUUUGACAUAAUUAUUUAUUCAUUUUUUAAUCGAAAUGAUAUAAUUUAUUUAAUUAAAUUAUAAAUAAUUACAGGUGGUGCAUGGUUGUCAAGUUCGUGUUGUGAAACGUUAAGUUAAGUCUUGUAACGAACGGAACCCUAAUUCUUUAUUAUAAUUUUGAAAUGAAGAAAACGAUUUUAUUUUUAAAUAAAAAUAAAAUGGAAGUUUAGGAUUUCGACAAAUCAUUAUGCUCCUUACGUCCCGGGCUACACAUGUGCUACAAUGGUUGAUACAGUGGAUUAUUAUUUUUAAAAUCAAUCAAAGUUCGGAUUAUAAACUGAAACUCGUUUAUAUGAAGUCGGAAUCAAUAGUAAUCGCAGGUCAGCUAUACUGCGGUGAAAUGUCACUGAGCUCUGUACAUACCGCCCGUCACACCUUGGGAGUUGAUUUUAUUUAGCGAUAUAUCUUUAACAUUUGUAGAAAAUGAGGAGAGUAUUUAGAAUAAAAUGAGUGAUUAAGGUGAAGUCGUAACAAGGUAGCCGUACUGGAAGGUGCGGCUGAUGAAAA
rnacentral:rRNA from 1 species